rnacentral:rRNA from 1 species
UACGAAGGGGGCUAGCGUUGCUCGGAAUCACUGGGCGUAAAGGGUGCGUAGGCGGGUUUUUAAGUCAGAGGUGAAAUCCUGGAGCUCAACUCCAGAACUGCCUUUGAUACUGAAAGUCUUGAGUAUGGGAGAGGUGAGUGGAACUGCGAGUGUAGAGGUGAAAUUCGUAGAUAUUCGGAAGAACACCAGUGGCGAAGGCGAACUCACUGGACACAUAUUGACGCUGAGGUGCGAAAGCGUGGGGAGCAAACAGGG